rnacentral:misc_RNA from 1 species
UUUCCGUAGGUGAACCUGCGGAAGGAUCAUUAUUGUAUAACCGAGGUGCGAGGGCUGUCGCUGACCCGAAAGGUCGUGCACGCCCGAGUGCCCUCACACACAUCCAUCUCACCCCUAUGUGCACCACCGCGUGGGUCCCCCUUUGGCUUGUUCGGAGGGGGGCUUACGUUUUCACACAAACUUUGUAUGCAGUGUAGAAUGUAUUUUUUGUUUUUGCGAUCACGCAAUCAAUACAACUUUCAACAACGGAUCUCUUGGCUCUCGCGUCGAUGAAGAACGCAGC